ACAAGAGAUCCUUAGCGGUGCUCACAUACCGCUCCGCCUCUCGCCGGAGGGCGGCGUCCUUGGCUCGACGCCGGGGGAUGGAAGGAUUCAUCGGGGGAAUAGGCGAGACACCAGUACCAAUCUGUUCAUGAUUUGCCCAACAGAAUGACGCAGGCAAGAAACAAGUGUAUUGUCCUGUAAUCGAAGGCACUUGUUAAUGUCAAACCAAACCUUUAGAUCAUUGCUGAUGAUGUCAAAAAAAAAUAUUAUCCAAUAAAAAAAUCGUUUGAGUUGGCUAUCGACCUUUAA